AUGGAGGCGACGGCGGUUAGCUUGGGCAAGGCUGUGCUCGACGGUGCGCUGGGCUAUGCUAAGUCCAAGGCGGCAGAGGAAAUCGCGCUGCAGCUCGGUGUCGAGCGCAAUGUGAACUUCAUCAAGGACGAGCUGCAGAUGAUGCAGUCGUUCCUGAUGACAGCCGAUGAGGAGCAAAGCCACAAUAAGGUGCUCACCACCUGGGUGAAACAGAUUGGGGUCCUGGCCUAUAAGGUGGAGGAUAGCCUCAUGGAUUUCGGCCUCCACUCGGAGAAAAAACCAUUCUUGGGCUGCAUCCCCCGCAACCCAGGUGAUCGACGCCGCAUUGCCAAGGAGGUGAAGGAGCUGAGGGCCGAGGUGGAGGAUGUGAGCAACAGGAAUCUGCGCUAUCGCCUCAUCAAGGAGAGUUCAGGCUCCAAGCCUACCACGGCAGAGGAGCAGGCCAGCAUUGCCACUGCAACACUGUUUGGCAUCAACGAAGCAAGGCUUGCUGCCUUGGAGCACGAAAAACCAUCAGAGGUGGACCUCCGCCAGCUGAUUACCAGCAACAAUGUGGGCCUUAGGGUGAUCGCUGUUUGGGGAACUAACAGUGAUCUCGGGAAGACGUCAGCCAUCCAGGAGGUUUAUGAUGACCCGAAGGUAUUGAAAAGGUUUGGAUUCCGUGCUUGGAUUAGGCUGAUGCAUCCUUUCAAUCCACAGGAGUUCCUCCAGAGCUUAGUAAGGCAAUUUUAUGAAAAUUUCUAUGAUGAGGUUGGAAAGCCAUCUGUCAAUUCACAAGAGUUCCUCCAGAGCUUGCUAAGGCAAUUAAAUGAAAAUUCCCAUGAUGAGGUUGGAAAGGCAGAACAAGAAACAAGUGUUGGGGCUGUUCUGGCAAAGAUGGAGAAGAUGGAUCAAAGUGAUUUGGUCUGCGUGUUUAAUGCACAGUUGUGUAGCAGUAGCUACCUGGUUGUAAUAAAUGACCUGUCCACAAUAGAAGAGUGGCAUUGCAUUAAGAAGUACUUUCCCAACAACAAGAAACAAAGUAGAAUCGUUGUUUCCACACAGCAAGUUGAAAUUGCAAGCCUGUGUACAGAGAAACCAUACCAAGUUUCGGGGUUCAAGCAGUUGUCAUGUGAUCAAACUAUUUAUUUGUUCCACAAGAAGAAUUCAGAGGAGCGGGUCAGCAUGGGUUGUGUUAGUGUGACAUUGUUUGACACCAAUGAAGCAAGGCUUGCUUCUAUGGAGAAGCAGAAACUGAAGGUUAUGCAUGAAUCAUGUUCUGCAGAGCCCAUUUCCAACUCAAACAAUGUUACUACUACUGAGAAAAACAGAGCAAUGCUCACCACUGAAAUACAGGAGCAAGACCAAGUACCUAACAAUCCAGAUGAAGAAAAAGUUCAUAACCCAACUGCAAGAAAGAAGUUUGAUCGCAGCAGGACACUAGCACUGGCUGGUGAAGUACUCUGUGGGCGAGAAACAGAGAAAUCUAUUCUUCUCAAAUUAGUUGGACAACCAGACAACAAUCAAGGCUGUAAGGUGAUCUCAGUUUGGGGAAUGGGGGGUCUUGGAAAAACCACUCUUGUCCGAAGCAUCUACCGAAGUCAACAGCUUGGUGACUGGAAACGCGCAUGGGCCACAGCAUUUCGUCCUUUCAACCCUGAAGUGCUCCUUAGAGAUUUGGUUUUGCAGCUUCAGAAUACUAUUCAAGAAGAUCCUGCUGGAUCAACAUCAACUGGAGCAGAAAAGAAAAGCAUAUCAGUGAUGAAACUUCAAGACUUGAAGGAUGAGUUAGCUCGGUUACUAAAAUUGAAAAUGUGCCUUGUUGUUCUUGAUGAUAUAUCGUCCACUUCUGAAUGGAAUUUGGUCAAAUCGUGUUUGGAUAAUGCUGGAAGGAUCAUAUUAACCACAAGACAAAAAAAUGUUGCCAAACAUUGUUCAAGAGAAGACAAGAACAUGUACUGUCUUGAAGGUCUGAAAGAUGCUGCUGCACUUGACCUCUUCAUAAAGAAGGUAUUCAAGGACAAUAUUGACAAACAUGAUUUAGUCCCAGCUAUGAUGGAGCAAGCAAGACUCAUCCUACAUAAAUGUGAUGGACUUCCCCUUGCAAUAUCGACUAUCGGUGGAUUCCUAGCCAGCAAGCCAAAGAAUGCUAUUGAAUGGAAGAAGAUGAAUGAUCAAAUUAGAACUGAAUUGGAGAUAAAUCCUGAACUUAGGGCAAUAAAAACAAUUCUUAUGAGGAGCUAUGAUGGUUUGCCAUACCAUCUCAAAUCUGUUUUCUUAUAUCUGUCCAUAUUUCCAGAAGAUCAUAGAAUUAGGUGGGGUCGCUUGGUGAGGCGGUGGAUUGCAGAGGGUUACUCAAGGGAUAUGCAUGGCAUGAAUGCAGUUGAACUUUGUCGGAGGUACUUUGAUGACCUCCUGGAUAGGAGUAUGAUCCUGCCAGGGGAAGGGAUAGACCAAUACAAACAGAAAAUCAGUUCUUGCCAACUUCAUGAUAUGAUCCGUGAAAUAUGCAUCUCAAAGGCUAGGGAGGAAAACCUUGUUUUCACAUUGGAGGAAGGAUGUUGUUUGAGCAACACACUAGGUGCAAUACGCCAUCUUGUCAUAGGCAGCAACUGGAAAAGGGAUAAACAUGUGCUGGAGAGCAUGCUAGACUUGUCACACGUACGGUCAUUGACCGUGUUUGGAGAGUGGAGACCAUUUUUCAUCUCUGAUAAUAUGAGGUUCCUGCGAGUGCUUGACUUGGAAGACACCGUAGGGCUAAGGGAUCAUCAUCUUGAGAAAAUCGGGAAGCUCCAUCACCUCAUGUACCUUUCUCUACGAGGAUGUCGCAGUAUUUUAUACCUGCCAAAUUCUUUGCAGAAUUUGAGGCACCUCCAAACACUUGAUGUUAAAGGUACACAGAUAAUUGAGUUGCCAAGAACAAUCACCAAUCUUAGCAAGUUACAGAACCUUCAUGCAGCUGGUUUUUGGAACAGAGGGCACGAUGUCAAGGGAGAGGACAUAGUAGAUAAAUAUUCAGGUUACAGAUAUUGUACUCCUACAUGUCAAACAUGCAGUGUUUUGUUGUCCAGAGGUCAUCUUUUCUUGAGACCACAAGUUUUAGAUGCUGGUUUGAAUAGGUAUGAUAUAUUCAAUCUACACUGCUUCAAGGAGAGGCGUCUAGAUGGUGUUAUACUUCCUAGAGGGAUUGGCAGAUUGAAGGCCCUUCACUCACUAGGUAUUGUUGAUGUUUCCGGGAGAAAUGGAAAUGCCACUAUAAAAGAGUUUGGAGAGCUUACUCAGCUACGUAAGCUUAAAGUGGGUGGUCUGAGCUACAGGAACAUCAAUGAGUUAUGGUCUGCCAUUGCUGGUCAUAAUCAGCUUCAAUCUUUGUCAGUUGAAGUGGGUAACCCGCAUGAAGAGAGGAAUGAGUUAGAUGGCUGUUUGGGUGAGGGUUUGUUGCCACCAAGCAGCCUUGAGAGCCUCACUCUGGCUGGUAAGCUAGUCACUGUAACAAAAUGGAUCCAUACGCUUCAGAAUCUCACCAAGUUGGUGCUAAGUUACAGCAGUUUGAAGCAAGAUGAUGAUGCCAUACAAGCCCUCGGGGUGCUACCAAAUAUUGCGGUUCUACGCCUGCAGAAUGACUCGUUCAGGGGGACACAGCUCCAUUUCCAGAGGUCAUCUUUCCCUAGCCUCAUGGUGCUGGAGCUCGAUUGGUUAGACAACCUCAAGUCGGUGCAGUUUGAAGAAGACACAAUGCGCAAGCUUGAGCUGCUACAAAUUGGUGUGUGCGUAGAGCUGAAGGUCAUCUCCGGGCUGCCAGCCCUUAAAAGCCUCAAGGAAAUUCAGUUGCUUAAAGUUGGUGACAGUUAUCUCACUAAAAUAUAUGAGGUGCAGAGGGAAGAGGUGGAGAGGCAGGUAGGGGAGCACGUGAGAGCGAACAUUAUUGACUGA
rnacentral:rRNA from 1 species